rnacentral:lncRNA from 1 species
GGUACCGGUACAGUGUCAAUGUGGAGGCUAUAUACAGGGGGUACCGGUACAGAGUCAAUGUGGAGGCUAUAUACAGGGGGUACCGGUACAGAGUCAAUGUGGAGGCUAUAUACAGGGGGUACCGGUACAGAGUCAAUGUGGAGGCUAUAUACAGGGUAUUACGGUACAGAGUCAAUGUGGAGGCUAUAUACAGGGGGUACCGGUACAGAGUCAAUGUGGAGACUAUAUACAGGGUAUUACGGUACAGAGUCAAUGUGGAGGCUAUAUACAGGGGGUACCGGUACAGAGUCAAUGUGGAGGCUAUAUACAGGGGGUACCGGUACAGAGUCAAUGUGGAGGCUAUAUACAGGGGGUACCGGUACAGAGUCAAUGUGGAGGCUAUAUACAGGGUAUUACGGUACAGAGUCAAUGUGGAGGCUAUAUACAGGGGGUACCGGUACAGAGUCAAUGUGGAGGCUAUAUACAGGGGGUACCGGUACAGAGUCAAUGUGGAGGCUAUAUACAGGGGGUACCGGUACAGAGUCAAUGUGGAGGCUAUAUACAGGAGGGUACCGGUACAGAGUCAAUGUGGAGGCUAUAUACAGGGGGUACCGGUACAGAGUCAAUGUGGAGGCUAUAUACAGGGGGUACCGGUACAGAGUCAAUGUGGAGGCUAUAUACAGGGGGGUACCGGUACAGAGUCAAUGUGGAGGCUAUAUACAGGGGGUACCGGUACAGAGUCAAUGUGGAGGCUAUAUACAGG